GUUGUACAAAUAGUUUUAGAUAACAGAGUUUCUUUCAAUUGAAAUUGCAAUAAGGUAAGUUCGUAAAUUCAAGUACUCCAUCUUCAAGUUGUUUGACAGUAUAAAAUCUUUAAUGAUAUUAUAAACAGUUGUUCUAGGUAUGAAGCCUAGGCGUCAAAUUCGUGGGUUGGGAGAUGGUCGCCUUUGAGACACAGGGGUAUCAUCUUCUAUUGUACUGAGUUUGGAUAAGGAGUUAGAAGCAGAACGUGCUGCUCGAAAGGCUCGAGUGAAGAUGGAGCAAAAGAUGCAGAAAAAGCUGAAGUUUGUUGAGCAACAAUUUAAUUUUACAUUGCAGUCUUGGCAUCAUUCUAUACACCAGCUAUGUGGUAAAGCUCCUGCUUCAGUGUACCAUCAUUUACACCAUUGUCAAUACAGAAUAAUGCUAAUAAGGAAGAUGAUGCAAUUGAGUACGAAGGGAAUAACUUUGUCAAAAACCAGCUACAUAUCUAAUUUAUGAGGAUGAAGAGUUAUAUUUUAAGGUGCAUAAUAAUAGAUGCAGAGCAUAUUGGUCUUAAAUGUAGACGUAACCAUAUUUGGUGAAUGGUUUUUAUCUUUAUUU
rnacentral:lncRNA from 1 species